GUUGGUUGUGCAAUGAAUGAU
rnacentral:snRNA from 1 species